rnacentral:rRNA from 1 species
GAUGAACGCUGGCGGCGUGCCUAAUACAUGCAAGUCGAGCGAACAGACGAGGAGCUUGCUCCUCUGACGUUAGCGGCGGACGGGUGAGUAACACGUGGAUAACCUCCCUAUAAGACUGGGAUAACUUCGGGAAACCGGAGCUAAUACCGGAUAAUAUAUUGAGCCGCAUGGUUCAAUAUUGAAAGACGGUUUUGCUGUCACUUAUAGAUGGAUCCGCGCCGCAUUAGCUAGUUGGUAAGGUAACGGCUUACCAAGGCGACGAUGCGUAGCCGACCUGAGAGGGUGAUCGGCCACACUGGAACUGAGACACGGUCCAGACUCCUACGGGAGGCAGCAGUAGGGAAUCUUCCGCAAUGGGCGAAAGCCUGACGGAGCAACGCCGCGUGAGUGAUGAAGGUCUUCGGAUCGUAAAACUCUGUUAUUAGGGAAGAACAAAUGUGUAAGUAACUAUGCACGUCUUGACGGUACCUAAUCAGAAAGCCACGGCUAACUACGUG